rnacentral:rRNA from 1 species
AUUGAACGCUGGCGGCAGGCUUAACACAUGCAAGUCGAGCGGUAACAGAGAGAAGCUUGCUUCUCUGCUGACGAGCGGCGGACGGGUGAGUAAUGCCUAGGAAUCUGCCUAGUAGUGAGGGAUAACUUGCCGAAAGGUAAGCUAAUACCGCAUACGUCCUACGGGAGAAAGGAGGGGACCUUCGGGCCUUUCGCUAUUAGAUGAGCCUAGGUCGGAUUAGUUAGUUGGUGAGGUAAUGGCUCACCAAGACCGCGAUCCGUAACUGGUCUGAGAGGAUGAUCAGUCACACUGGAACUGAGACACGGUCCAGACUCCUACGGGAGGCAGCAGUGGGGAAUAUUGGACAAUGGGGGGAACCCUGAUCCAGCCAUGCCGCGUGUGUGAAGAAGGUCUUAGGAUUGUAAAGCACUUUAAGUUGGGAGGAAGGGCAGUUAACUAAUAUUUGACUGUUUUGACGUUACCGACAGAAUAAGCACCGGCUAACUUCGUGCCAGCCGCCGCGGUAA